rnacentral:rRNA from 1 species
UGGGGAAUAUUGGACAAUGGGCGCAAGCCUGAUCCAGCAAUGCCGCGUGAGUGAGGAAGGCCUUAGGGUUGUAAAGCUCUUUCGGCGGGGACGAUGAUGACGGUACCCGCAGAAGAAGCCCCGGCUAACUUCGUGCCAGCAGCCGCGGUAAUACGAAGGGGGCGAGCGUUGUUCGGAUUUACUGGGCGUAAAGGGCGCGUAGGCGGCCAUCUUUGUCAGGCGUGAAAGCCCUGGGCUCAACCUGGGAGGUGCGCUUGGGACGGGGUGGCUGGAGAUCGGGAGAGGAGCGUGGAAUUCCCAGUGUAGAGGUGAAAUUCGUAGAUAUUGGGAAGAACACCGGUGGCGAAGGCGGCGCUCUGGACCGAUACUGACGCUGAGGCGCGAAAGCGUGGGGAGCAAACAGGAUUAGAUACCCCCGUAGUCC